UCAACCUGUUUUUAAAUGUGCUGAUAAACAAAUGUAGAUUUCUUUGAAUAAAACAGUGGAGCCGAGCUUUGAGCUCAGUGUGUAACAGUGUGUGUGUGAGAGCCAUGUAAUGUCCAUGUGUGCAUGCUGACUGUGCUGCUCUGACCCCCCUCCUCCUUUCAGGGUGGAGCCUGCUGGAGUCCGAUGGUUGAGACCAGGUCUGAGGAAGUAUUCCUGUCAACUCACAAUCGACACAAACACAGUACACACAGACCUCCAACUGUCUGACAACAACAGGAAGGUUACAAAUGUGGGGGAGGUUCAGUCAUAUCCUGAUCAUCCAGACAGAUUUGAUGUUCGUCCUCAGCUGCUGUGUAGAAAUGGUCUGACUGGUCGCUGUUACUGGGAGGUCGAGUGGAGAGGAUUCGUUUAUAUAUCAGUGAGUUACAGAAGCAUCAGAAGGAAAGGAGGCAGUGCUGACUGUGUGUUUGGAAACAAUGAUCAGUCCUGGAGUCUGUGCUGCUCUGAUGAUGGUCCUCGUUAUGUCUGGCACAAUAA